rnacentral:lncRNA from 1 species
UGUGAAUCACUUGGUUUGAGUGAAGGAAAUCCAGCGCUUGCAGGCACUCCCUACAGACAGCUGCUAUCUGUCCUUCAUCCAUACAUGUCUCUGUAACAACAUCAGUUAGAGAGCCUCCAGCCAAGUAUUCCAUAACCACCCAGAGCUCAUCACCUACUAGGUAGCUGUCUAAAUAGUUAACAAUAUUGGGGUUCUUAUUUUCCCUCAUGACCAGGAUUUCAUUAAUAAUUAGUUCCUUUUUGGGCUGUUGUUGGAGAUUCAUUUGCUUUAUGGCCACCUCUUGUCCUGUGGCGAUGUCUAUUGCUGUAUAAACAGUUCCUGAUGCCCCUUGGCCAAUUUUUUCAAAUCGAGUGUAUUUCUUCUUAGGGUCUCCCACACUCACAAUGCUCCUCAGUUUCUCUAGGAUCUCCUCAUCUGUCAUCUUGGAUUUCUUCCGCUGCCGGUCUGUGUUUCUGUACAAAGUGUUUGUGUUGGAGUUUUCAGGCUGGGGAGUGGUGGCUUCUUUAGCCGGUGCUGGUGCAGCGACAGGUUCGAUUACGGAGCGCGUGUAGAUUGAUUUUGUGUGUUCAGGCCGUGGGGCAAUAACAGGCGGAGGCUCAUUGUCAUCUUCUUCUUCCUCAUCUUCUUCAUCCUCUUCUUCAGAAACUGAUGGUGCUAACGGGGGUUCCGACGCUGUUUUUGUGCUCGAAGGAUGGGCUUCUAUGUAUCCAUGGGCGCUUUUAUCUCCUGACGUAAAGCUCAUGUAUUUCUGGUUGUUAACUGUUUCUUUGGAAUCAUAAAAUUUGAGGACAUCUAGAACUGCUUGAGGAUUCUUCUUCUGCUCUAGUUUUGUUAUGUUGGAGGUCUGUAGUAGCCUGGCCCACUGCUCUGGAAUGCCUGUGAAUUCUCCAGUGACGGCAUCAAACCCCACAUGAAUCGUGUGCUCAAAGUCUGAAGGAAGAGAGAUCUCAGGGCGUUCUUUCUCCUUCUUCUUAUUGGUUUUAUCCCCUCCUCCCGGGAAGAUGGAGCGCAGCCUGGCUUUCUUGUUCUUCUCCUCAGGGGCCAUGGGGAGUGGUUUGGAGCUGUGGUUCAGUGCUGAAGAAUCACGGUUGUUGCUGUUCAUUCUCAACGGCGGGGCUGGAGGUUUCUCUUCAACAUCCAGGCUAUCGGACAUCUUCAGCAGCCCUCACAGCCUCCUGCGCCCGGCGCUGUCAUGCUGCUCCGCCGUCCCCCGCCGCGGCCCCGCGCCGCCGCCGCC